AAAAACUUAAGUUAAUUAAACUAAGGGCCUUCAAAGCCCUAAAUAAGGACCUCCUCCUUAGUUUUUG
rnacentral:tRNA from 1 species